rnacentral:tRNA from 1 species
GAGAAAGAUGCCAAAAAGAAGACUUCUAAUCUUAUUUUUAAGCGGUUGAAUUCCGUUUGUUUCUCA